GAUGAACGCUGGCGGCGUGCUUAACACAUGCAAGUCGAACGGAAAGGCUCCUGCUUGCAGGGGUACUCAAGUGGCGAACGGGUGAGUAACACGUGGGUGAUCUGCCCUGCACUUCGGGAUAAGCCUGGGAAACUGGGUCUAAUACCGGAUAGGACGAUGGUUUGGAUGCCCUUGUGGAAAGAUUUUCGGUGUGGGAUGAGGUCGCGGCCUAUCAGCUUGUUGGUGGUGUAAUGGCCUACCAAGGCGUCGGCGGGUAGCCGGCCUCGGAGGGUGUACGGCCACGGUGGGACUGGGAUACGGCCCCGACUCCGACUGGAGGCAGCAGCGGGGGUUAGUGCUCAAGGGGCGCAGGCCGGAUGCAGCUACGCCGCGUGGGGGAUGACGGACUUCGGGUUGUGAACGCCUUGCGCUAUGGACGAAGCGUUUUGUGACGGUACCUGGAGAAGAAGCCCCGGCUAACUACGUG
rnacentral:rRNA from 1 species